rnacentral:rRNA from 1 species
GACGAACGCUGGCGGCGUGCUUAACACAUGCAAGUCGAACGGAAAGGCCCUGCUUUUGUGGGGUGCUCGAGUGGCGAACGGGUGAGUAACACGUGAGUAACCUGCCCUUGACUUUGGGAUAACUUCAGGAAACUGGGGCUAAUACCGGAUAGGAGCUCCUGCUGCAUGGUGGGGGUUGGAAAGUUUCGGCGGUUGGGGAUGGACUCGCGGCUUAUCAGCUUGUUGGUGGGGUAGUGGCUUACCAAGGCUUUGACGGGUAGCCGGCCUGAGAGGGUGACCGGCCACAUUGGGACUGGGAUACGGCCCAGCCUCCUCCGGGAGGCAGCAGUGGGGAAUAUUGCACAAUGGGCGGAAGCCUGAUGCAGCAACGCCGCGUGCGGGAUGACGGCCUUCGGGUUGUAAACCGCUUUCGCCUGUGACGAAGCGUGAGUGACGGUAAUGGGUAAAGAAGCACCGGCUAACUACGUG